rnacentral:pre_miRNA from 1 species
GUGUGUGGAUAGUGUUCACUACCAGGGACAGGUGUGCUUGCCUGUGUGGAUGGUGUUCAGCACCAGGACAGGUGUGUUUGUGU